rnacentral:lncRNA from 1 species
UGCGGAUUGGCUACCCGAUGGGGAUGGGAGGAGUCCAAAAUCAAAUCUACCACCUACGGAUUUAAAAGUCGUGGAGAGACUAAAUUGUCACAUCGAGAAAAUAUCCUUCCUCAGUGACAAGAUAGUAUAGAAACAGCACUGUUCUUCCUGAUUGUUAUUUACAUCUGGGUAAUCUCUGAGUUUCCUCCGUGUAGGCUUUUUACGCACAGCAGAAACGCGUGGAUUAAUACAAAUACUAAACUAGUUGGGGGAACAGAGAACGUGAAAAUGGACGAGAAGGUAAUACAUCAUGAAUGUACCACUUCCAAAUAAUUGUAUUCCGUGCCUGCGAGAUAUAAUUUCAUUUGAUGAACGGCCUUAAUUUAACCAUACAUUUCACGUCAGUCUAAAUUCAUUUGAUGUUUACAAAAUUCUUCGCUUGUUGAAUUCAAUUGAAAUAUGAUGAAAUAAUUUAUUAAAAAAAUAUAUAAUAACGAUACAUAUGACGAAAGGGGUUAUUAAGAGCUGUUCUAACUAUGCUGCGUGGUUUCCCAGAGACAUUGAUCUGAACUCUCACUCAUGAUUCCCUUUCAUCUUUCACUUGUAACUCCUGAAGCCUCAAGUGGAGAGAUAUCAGAGAGAGAGAGAGAGAAAGAAUGGACCAGUCUGGAGAGGCUGAGAACAAUGCUGCUGCAGUGGCCACAACAUCAGCGUUGGGUGGAGAAAGCUGAGAUCCUGGAACACACCGUUCUCUUUCUCCAGAACACUGGCGAUGGGGACAGGAAGAAAGCUGAAGGUGAGGAGCAUUGAGGUCGCGGCUUAAGCUCAACUCGCUGCCCGGCACAACAC